rnacentral:rRNA from 1 species
UGGUGGAGUGAUUUGUCUGCUUAAUUGCGAUAACGAACGAGACCUUAACCUGCUAAAUAGCCCGGUUUGCUUUGGCAGACUGCUGGCUUCUUAGAGGGACUAUCGGCUCAAGCCGAUGGAAGUUUGAGGCAAUAACA